rnacentral:rRNA from 1 species
CGUGUUUCUAGUGGCGGACGGGUGAGUAACGCGUGGGUAACCUGCCUUAUACAGGGGGAUAACAACCAGAAAUGGUUGCUAAUACCGCAUAAGCGCACAGGACCGCAUGGUCCGGUGUGAAAAACUCCGGUGGUAUAAGAUGGACCCGCGUUGGAUUAGCUAGUUGGUGGGGUAACGGCCUACCAAGGCGACGAUCCAUAGCCGGCCUGAGAGGGUGAACGGCCACAUUGGGACUGAGACACGGCCCAG